rnacentral:rRNA from 1 species
AUUGAACGCUGGCGGCAUGCCUUACACAUGCAAGUCGAACGGUAACAGGUCUUCGGAUGCUGACGAGUGGCGAACGGGUGAGUAAUACAUCGGAACGUGCCCGAUCGUGGGGGAUAACGAAGCGAAAGCUUUGCUAAUACCGCAUAAGAUCUACGGAUGAAAGCAGGGGACCGCAAGGCCUUGCGCGAACGGAGCGGCCGAUGGCAGAUUAGGUAGUUGGUGGGAUAAAAGCUUACCAAGCCGACGAUCUGUAGCUGGUCUGAGAGGACGACCAGACACACUGGGACUGAGACACGGCCCAGACUCCUACGGGAGGCAGCAGUGGGGAAUUUUGGACAAUGGGCGAAAGCCUGAUCCAGCCAUGCCGCGUGCAGGAUGAAGGCCUUCGGGUUGUAAACUGCUUUUGUACGGAACGAAAAGACUCUUUCUAAUAAAGAGGGUCCAUGACGGUACCGUAAGAAUAAGCACCGGCUAACUACGUGCCAGCCGCCGCGGUAAGAC